rfam:Piromyces finnis strain finn BCR36scaffold_107, whole genome shotgun sequence.
GCCCGUGUAGCCCAAUGGAUAAGGCGUUUCCCUCCUAAGGAAAAGAUUGUGGGUUCGAGUCCCAUCUCGGGUG